GGGGGUGACAGGUUUCGACGAUCAGGUUUCUGGCGUCGGAGAAGCGUGCCGAGAACGUCGGGUUAUCUCGUAAACGACCCCGGCAAACCAAUAACUGCCGAAAAGAAGCAGUCCGCUUUCGCACUCGCCGCAUAAGGCGAGUUGCGAAGCCGUCAGCCCGGGGAGUCCCUGACCCGGAUCCUGGCGUCAAUUAAGGGACUUACCAACCACUCCGGUCGCGGGAGUGCGCGGAACAUCUAACAGUGACUAGGCCGCCACCGCGAUGUGCCGUACAAAACGCGGGGGCCGAUAAGCGAUAGCACGGCUACGCACGUAGAAGACCGAGUUAGGUCUGAGCGGACCCGGGUUCGAUUCCCGGCACCUCCACAA
rnacentral:tmRNA from 1 species